rnacentral:rRNA from 1 species
GGAAUCCGGAAAGGUCAUAUAUACAAAAGUCCACAUAUAUAGUCAACCAAAACGAAGAUAAGAAAAAGAACAACUCCUGCAUGCUGUAUGCAUCAAACGGAUCAACCAUAAGGCAUCACGUUCACCGCACGAAAAAAGCAAAACCCUUAUAGCAUCAGGUUGUCCUUGGAAGGCAGACGACUGUACAAGUUGAGGAGCAGGUUGGUCCGGCCUCGGAACCACGGGGGCCGGAGGAAGUAUAGCACCAUCACCAUGGCAACCACCCGGAACGGCGUCAGGUACAGUACGACGGGCAUCACCAGUGAGAGCGCAAUGAAGACGGGCGUCAACCUGGGGUCGUGCCAGCGGAGCAGUGACUGUGCGCGCUCCCCCUGCGCAGCCAGGUUGCCGACAACCGUCUGCAGCAUCCCAGCCAGGCUCCGCAGCCGCUCGUAUCUCCGUCUCACGGUGUCCGAGGGCUUGGACGUCGGGAACGUGUCGAAUUCCUCGUCCAGCUAGUCGGGGUAUGACACAUCCUUGUACCACCGCAACAUUGUAUCUAUGUGCGGUGGCUGCAGUCCGUCGAACUCCUCGUCCAGCUCGUUCGGGUGCGCGAGCUCCACGCGUGACAGCAUCAUGUCUAUGUGUGGAGGCCCCUGUGGCCGCCUGAAGUAGUUCCACGCCCCGAUAAUGAUCAUGCACAAGAACACG